rnacentral:rRNA from 1 species
ACGUAGGAGGCGAGCGUUGUCCGGAAUCACUGGGCGUAAAGGGCGCGUAGGCGGCCGAGCAAGGUCGCGGUGAAAGCCCGGGGCUCAACCCCGGGUCGGCCGUGGCAACUACUCGGCUUGAGCACUGUAGGGGCGGGUGGAAUUCCGGGUGUAGCGGUGGAAUGCGUAGAGAUCCGGAAGAACACCGGUGGCGAAGGCGGCCAUCUGGACCGUAACUGACGCUGAGGCGCGAAAGCGUGGGGAGCAAACAGGA